AUUGAACGCUGGCGGCAGGCCUAACACAUGCAAGUCGAGCGGAUGCAGGGAGCUUGCUCCUGGAUUCAGCGGCGGACGGGUGAGUAAUGCCUAGGAAUCUGCCUGGUAGUGGGGGAUAACGUCCGGAAACGGGCGCUAAUACCGCAUACGUCCUGAGGGAGAAAGUGGGGGAUCUUCGGACCUCACGCUAUCAGAUGAGCCUAGGUCGGAUUAGCUAGUUGGUGGGGUAAAGGCCUACCAAGGCGACGAUCCGUAACUGGUCUGAGAGGAUGAUCAGUCACACUGGAACUGAGACACGGUCCAGACCCCUACGGGAGGCCGCAGUGGGGAAUAUUGGACAAUGGGCGAAAGCCUGCUCCAGCCAGGCCGCGUGUGUGAAGAAGGUCUUCGGCUUGUAAAGCACUUUAAGUUGGGAGGAAGGGCAGUAAGUUAAUACCUUGCUGUUUUGACGUUACCAACAGAAUAAGCACCGGCUAACUUCGUG
rnacentral:rRNA from 1 species